rnacentral:rRNA from 1 species
GAUGAACGCUGGCGGCGUGCUUAACACAUGCAAGUCGAGCGAAGCGCUUUGGUUAGAUUCUUCGGAUGAAGACCUUUGUGACUGAGCGGCGGACGGGUGAGUAACGCGUGGGUAACCUGCCUCAUACAGGGGGAUAACAGUUAGAAAUGGCUGCUAAUACCGCAUAAGCGCACAGCAUCGCAUGAUGUCGUGUGAAAAACUCCGGUGGUAUGAGAUGGACCCGCGUCUGAUUAGGUAGUUGGCGGGGUAACGGCCCACCAAGCCGACGAUCAGUAGCCGACCUGAGAGGGUGACCGGCACAUUGGGACUGAGACACGGGCCCAAACUCCUACGGGAGCAGCAGGUGGGGAAUAUUGCACAAUGGGCGAAAGCCUGAUGCAGCGACGCCGCGUGAGCGAAGAAGUA